rnacentral:rRNA from 1 species
CAGUCGCCACGGUAAUACGAAGGGUGCAAGCGUUACUCGGAAUUACUGGGCGUAAAGCGUGCGUAGGUGGUGGUUUAAGUCCGUUGUGAAAGCCCUGGGCUCAACCUGGGAAUUGCAGUGGAUACUGGGUCACUAGAGUGUGGUAGAGGAUAGUGGAAUUUCCGGUGUAGCAGUGAAAUGCGUAGAGAUCGGAAGGAACAUCUGUGGCGAAGGCGACUAUCUGGGCCAACACUGACACUGAGGCACGAAAGCGUGGGGAGCAAACAGGAUUAGAUACCCCGGUAGUCCCUGUCUCUUAUAC